GUGUUAAGUGGAAAAGGAUGUGGGAUUUCGAAGACAGCUAGGAUGUUGGCUUAGAAGCAGCCAUACAUUAAAAGAGUGCGUAACAGCUCACUAGUCGAGAGGUCCUGCGCCGAAAAUGUCCGGGGCUAAACACAACACCGAAGCCUGGGAAUGUAGUAAUACAUUGGUAGAGGAGCAUUCUUAGAGGCGUAGAAGCCAUACCGGAAGGAAUGGUGGAGUAAUAAGAAGAGAGAAUGCCGGAAUGAGUAGCGAGAAAGAGGUGAGAAUCCUCUUGGCCGAAUAUCUAAGGUUUCCUGAGUAAAGCUGAUCUACUCAGGGUAAGUCGGGGCCUAAGGCAAGGUCGAAAGACGUAGUCGAUGGAUAACAGGUACAGAUUCCUGUACUACAUAUAAUCAGAACUGUGGGGACACGGAGACUAAAACCGAACCCGGGAGGACAAAAACCGGGGCAAGCGAAGUACCUGUAUGGGAGGAAAAACCACCAUACAAGGGGAAAACGUGAUGCGUACCGAAAAUUAGUAGGGAAGUCGGUUAGGGAGCCGUCAAGAAAAGCCGCUAUUGUGUUAUAUGUACCCGUACCGCAAACCGACACAGGUAGAUGAGGAGAGAAUCCUAAGGCCGGCGGGAGAAGCAUUGUUAAGGAACUCGGCAAAAUGACCCCGUAACUUCGGGAGAAGGGGUGCCACUGGAAACAGUGGUCGCAGAAAAAAGGCUCAAGCAACUGUUUAGCAAAAACACAGGUCUAUGCGAAACCGCAAGGUGAAGUAUAUGGGCUGACGCCUGCCCGGUGCCGGAAGGUUAAGAGGAGAAGUCAGGAAACGAAGCUUUGAAUUGAAGCCCCGGUAAACGGCGGCCGUAACUAUAACGGUCCUAAGGUAGCGAAAUUCCUUGUCGGGUAAGUUCCGACCCGCACGAAAGGCGUAAUGAUUUGAGCGCUGUCUCAACAAUGCACCCGGUGAAAUUGAAGUACCAGUGAAGAUGCUGGUUACCUGCGCCAGGACGGAAAGACCCCAUGGAGCUUUACUCCAGUUUGGUACUGGGAUUCGGUAAUACUCGUACAGGAUAGGUGGGAGACUUUGAAGCAUGGACGCCAGUUUAUGCAGAGUCGCCGUUGGGAUACCACCCCUGUAUUGCUGGAUUUCUAACCUGCGGCCGUUAUCCGGCCGGGGGACAAUGCCAGACGGGGAGUUUGACUGGGGCG
rnacentral:rRNA from 1 species